CAGUAUAAGUUUUCAAGAUACAAGUCGCACAAUUACUACCGGGGCUACAAGGGAGAAAUGUUACGAAUUUACAAAAGGAAUCAAAAUUCUAUUACAAAAGAACAAGUUAGAACUAUUCCCACCCAUGGUCAUUCAAAUUAUUCAAAUUACUCAAGUUCAAUCGUUCAAGCGUCUUUUAGUCACGAUUCAUUAUGUUACAGUACGUGCCAUUUCAAGAUUACAAAAAAAGUUACGAAGGUCCAAAGAAACUUUUACAAAAAAAGGGCAUUUAAUUAGUUACAAGAAAAUGUAUCCUAAGCUUUAUCUUCCAUCUUCAUCUUUUACCAUGGACUUCAUGA